rnacentral:rRNA from 1 species
CGGCGAGUGAGCGGUAAAAGCUCAAAUUUGAAAUCUGGUACUUUCAGUGCCCGAGUUGUAAUUUGUAGAAUUUGUCUUUGAUUAGGUCCUUGUCUAUGUUCCUUGGAACAGGACGUCAUAGAGGGUGAGAAUCCCGUUUGGCGAGGAUACCUUUUCUCUGUAAGACUUUUUCGAAGAGUCGAGUUGUUUGGGAAUGCAGCUCAAAGUGGGUGGUAAAUUCCAUCUAAAGCUAAAUAUUGGCGAGAGACCGAUAGCGAACAAGUACAGUGAUGGAAAGAUGAAAAGAACUUUGAAAAGAGAGUGAAAAAGUACGUGAAAUUGUUGAAAGGGAAGGGCAUUUGAUCAGACAUGGUGUUUUUUGCAUGCACUCGCCUCUCGUGGGCUUGGGCCUCUCAAAAAUUUCACUGGGCCAACAUCAAUUCUGGCAGCAGGAUAAAUCAUUAAGAAUGUAGCUACUUCGGUAGUGUUAUAGCUUUUUGGAAUACUGUUAGCCGGGAUUGAGGACUGCGCUUCGGCAAGGAUGUUGGCAUAAUGGUUAAAUGCCGCCCGUCUUGAAA